rnacentral:rRNA from 1 species
AGUGAACGCUGGCGGUAGGCCUAACACAUGCAAGUCGAACGGCAGCACAGUAAGAGCUUGCUCUUACGGGUGGCGAGUGGCGGACGGGUGAGGAAUACAUCGGAAUCUACUUUUUCGUGGGGGAUAACGUAGGGAAACUUACGCUAAUACCGCAUACGACCUACGGGUGAAAGCAGGGGAUCUUCGGACCUUGCGCGAUUGAAUGAGCCGAUGUCGGAUUAGCUAGUUGGCGGGGUAAAGGCCCACCAAGGCGACGAUCCGUAGCUGGUCUGAGAGGAUGGCCACCCAACAGGGAAGCGGAGACCGGCCCCAGCCCCCACGGGGAGCAACCAGGGGGGAUUUGUGGACAAGGGCCGCAAGCUUGACCCACCUAUCCCGGGGGGGGAAAGAAGGCCUCGGGUUUGAAAGCCCUUUUUUUGGGAAAAAAAAAGCAGCAGUUUAAUACCCCGUUGUUCGGAGGGUACCAAAAAAAAAAGCCCCGCCUACUUUGGGC